GUCCCUUAAAAUUGCACCCUUUCGACUUGCCAGAACUUGGAACAUUGACACUGCCUUUGUGGGUUUUAUAACCCCACCAAGCUCAGUAAAUACCCCAAUCCAGUUCCCCGGCAAAUUAAUCCUGCGGGAAAAUUUCUCUGCCGUUUGUUGACGGUCCAGAAUCUGAUAGGGAACAGAGUUUUUCUGGAAGCUGGAGAGAACGGAGAGGAGUUCCUUGUCAUCUGAUGGCCCCAUAUUGAAUUGCUGCGUUUUGAAAUAAACCUUGAAGCCGAU
rnacentral:misc_RNA from 1 species